CAGCAGCCGCGGGAAUACGUAGGGUGCGAGCGUUAAUCGGAAUUACUGGGCGUAAAGCGUGCGCAGGCGGUUAUGUAAGACAGGUGUGAGAUCCCCGGGCUUAACCUGGGAACUGCGCUUGUGACUGCACAGCUAGAGUAUGGCAGAGGGGGGUGGAAUUCCACGUGUAGCAGUGAAAUGCGUAGAGAUGUGGAGGAACACCGAUGGCGAAGGCAGCCCCCUGGGCCAAUACUGACGCUCAUGCACGAAAGCGUGGGGAGCAAACAGGAUUAGAUACCCGUGUAGUCCCUGUCUCUUAUAC
rnacentral:rRNA from 1 species